rnacentral:rRNA from 1 species
UACGAGGGGGGCGAGCGUUAUCCGGAAUUAUUGGGCGUAAAGAGCUCGUAGGCGGUUUGUCACGUCUGCUGUGAAAACUGGAGGCUCAACCUCGGGCCUGCAGUGGGUACGGGCAGACUAGAGUGCGGUAGGGGAGAUUGGAAUUCCUGGUGUAGCGGUGGAAUGCGCAGAUAUCAGGAGGAACACCGAUGGCGAAGGCAGAUCUCUGGGCCGUAACUGACGCUGAGGAGCGAAAGCGUGGGGAGCGAACAGG